GAAAGGUUAUCUUAAAUUGAAAUAAAAUCAUCUAAUUAAAUAACAGCAGAGCUAGUAGGAGGAACUGCAGCCAUUAUGAUCAAAUUGAACUAGAAACCUUGAAGAAAAAACAGCCAUUGAGAGGAAACCCCACAUGCUCUGAGUCUGGUACAGUCCAUCCAUGAGCAAGUAGUUCUGGUGAAAGCUGGGAGCAAGGGCAGCUUGUUACCAAGAAACAGAGUGUACUCCUCUGAAAUGGAGGCAUGAGGGAAGUGCUGGUUCCUGCUGCACGCCCUUGGUUUAAGCAGAUGGAAUCAGUGGCUUUCCAUUAGCAUCUGUGGAGCUGUCUUUCUAGUAGCUGAUUUCCAGUGGGCAUCUGAAGUGCCAAGUGGCUGAAAACCAACACCAUGUCUCAUCCUGUAGGGGAGUGUUGGCCACGGAACUGAAUUCCCAAUCCUUAAUUACUGUGUCUGUAUAGGUGAUGAGCUGCCUGGAGCCAUAAUCAGGUAGAAAAAGGCUCUGAAACAAAUCUAUAGAGCAAGUUCUAUAUUUAUGUAUAGCCCUGAUGAUUGUUCAGACAUUUUAGUACAAGUUGCUAAUACCACCGUAUUUUUAUCAUGUGAAUAUGACUGUGUUAGUGAUUGUUGGGGUUUCUGGACAUGGCCUUAGAGCUUCAGAAACAAGAAGUUAUUUCAGCUGGCUGGGUGCAUUUAACAGUGAAUUUCAUGCUAGCAGUUCUGUGGUGAAAGGAACUCAGUGUACUUAAGGAGAAAGAAGCAGCUUUUUUUUUUUUUUUUUUUAAAAAAAAAAAACUGCACUGAUUUGGAACCUGUGAUCCCCUGAGGAAGCAUGUCUCAGCUAUAAAUACCCUCUGAGGUAGUGCAGUGGGUUAUCUGCACUGGGAUUAUCUUAUAGGUUUUGCAUUUGACUCUCUCAAGGGACAUUUUUAUUAUUCUCUGUGGAACAACAGUGAGGAAAAAUGACCAACAGGGAGAGUUUGAGAUAUCUUUAAUGAGAAGCUUCCUCCAUGGUUAAUUCUGCUCUCCAGGGUGAGCCUGCAGCUGUCCUGUAGCUAGCAGCCCAAGGACAGCUGGCCUCAUGGGGCAAAGUGUCACCUGGGAGCUGCAGAGAGAGCAGGAGUGAAAGUAACAGCUAAGCUUAUCUCAUAGAAUCUUUUUUUGAGUUGGAAGGGACCCUUACAGAUCAUCUAGUCCAAAUCCUCUGAAAUGAACAGGGAUACCUACAGCUAGAUCAGGUUGUUUGAAGCCCAGUCCAGCCUGACCCUGAAUGCCUCCAGGGAUGUGGGGUAUCCACCACCUCUCUGGGCAAGCUGUGCCAGUACCUCACCACUCUGAUUGUAUUAAAAUCUUUUU
rnacentral:lncRNA from 1 species